UACAGAGGUCUCAAGCGUUGUUCGGAUUCACUGGGCGUAAAGGGUGCGUAGGCGGCGCGGUAAGUCGGGUGUGAAAUCUCGGAGCUUAACUCCGAAACUGCAUUCGAUACUGCCGUGCUUGAGGACUGGAGAGGAGACUGGAAUUUACGGUGUAGCGGUGAAAUGCGUAGAUAUCGUAAGGAAGACCAGUGGCGAAGGCGGGUCUCUGGGCCGUAACUGACGCUGAGGAGCGAAAGCAUGGGGAGCGAACGGG
rnacentral:rRNA from 1 species